AGCUCCAAUAGCGUAUAUUAAAGUUGUUGUGGUUAAAAAGCUCGUAGUUGGAUUUCGGCGGGCAGUGGGUGGUUUGAAUUGCUUCAAAACUGACUUUUUUACCCGUGUGUUUUGCCAGAAUCUAGCGGGGGCUCUUUUCCGGUUUUUUGUUUGGAACUGGCAGGUUUACUUUGAAAAAAUUAGAGUGCUCAAAGCAAGCUUACUGCUUGAAUAGUUGCGCAUGGAAUAAUAGAAUAGGAAGUCGUUUCUAUUUUGUUGGUUUUCGGAAAUCGACUUAAUGAUUAAUAGGGAUAGUCGGGGGCAUUCAUAUUCAAACGACAGAGGUGAAAUUCUUGGACCGUUUGAAGAUGAACUAAGGCGAAAGCAUUUGCCAAGAAUGUUUUCA
rnacentral:rRNA from 1 species